rnacentral:rRNA from 1 species
UGGGCUGACGAUGCUACCAUGCAGUCGAGCGGUAGCACAGAGAGCUUGCUCUCGGGUGACGAGCGGCGGACGGGUGAGUAAUGUCUGGGAAACUGCCUGAUGGAGGGGGAUAACUACUGGAAACGGUAGCUAAUACCGCAUAAUGUCGCAAGACCAAAGUGGGGGACCUUCGGGCCUCAUGCCAUCAGAUGUGCCCAGAUGGGAUUAGCUAGUAGGUGGGGUAACGGCUCACCUAGGCGACGAUCCCUAGCUGGUCUGAGAGGAUGACCAGCCACACUGGAACUGAGACACGGUCCAGACUCCUACGGGAGGCAGCAGUGGGGAAUAUUGCACAAUGGGCGCAAGCCUGAUGCAGCCAUGCCGCGUGUGUGAAGAAGGCCUUCGGGUUGUAAAGCACUUUCAGCGGGGAGGAAGGCGAUAAGGUUAAUAACCUUGGCGAUUGACGUUACCCGCAGAAGAAGCACCGGCUAACUCCGUGCCAGCAGCCGCGGUAAUACGGAGGGUGCAAGCGUUAAUCGGAAUUACUGGGCGUAAAGCGCACGCAGGCGGUCUGUCAAGUCGGAUGUGAAAUCCCCGGGCUCAACCUGGGAACUGCAUUCGAAACUGGCAGGCUAGAGUCUUGUAGAGGGGGGUAGAAUUCCAGGUGUAGCGGUGAAAUGCGUAGAGAUCUGGAGGAAUACCGGUGGCGAAGGCGGCCCCCUGGACAAAGACUGACGCUCAGGUGCGAAAGCGUGGGGAGCAAACAGGAUUAGAUACCCUGGUAGUCCACGCCGUAAACGAUGUCGAUUUGGAGGUUGUGCCCUUGAGGCGUGGCUUCCGGAGCUAACGCGUUAAAUCGACCGCCUGGGGAGUACGGCCGCAAGGUUAAAACUCAAAUGAAUUGACGGGGGCCCGCACAAGCGGUGGAGCAUGUGGUUUAAUUCGAUGCAACGCGAAGAACCUUACCUGGUCUUGACAUCCACAGAACUUUCCAGAGAUGGAUUGGUGCCUUCGGGAACUGUGAGACAGGUGCUGCAUGGCUGUCGUCAGCUCGUGUUGUGAAAUGUUGGGUUAAGUCCCGCAACGAGCGCAACCCUUAUCCUUUGUUGCCAGCGGUUCGGCCGGGAACUCAAAGGAGACUGCCAGUGAUAAACUGGAGGAAGGUGGGGAUGACGUCAAGUCAUCAUGGCCCUUACGACCAGGGCUACACACGUGCUACAAUGGCAUAUACAAAGAGAAGCGACCUCGCGAGAGCAAGCGGACCUCAUAAAGUAUGUCGUAGUCCGGAUUGGAGUCUGCAACUCGACUCCAUGAAGUCGGAAUCGCUAGUAAUCGUAGAUCAGAAUGCUACGGUGAAUACGUUCCCGGGCCUUGUACACACCGCCCGUCACACCAUGGGAGUGGGUUGCAAAAGAAGUAGGUAGCUUAACCUUCGGGAGGGCGCUACCACUUUGGAUCCGUCGUUA